rnacentral:rRNA from 1 species
UAACACGUGGAUAACCUGCCUUAUANUGGGGGAUAACAGCCAGAAAUGGCUGCUAAUACCGCAUAAGCGCACGGCGCCGCAUGGCGCAGUGUGAAAAACUCCGGUGGUAUAAGAUGGAUCCGCGCCUGAUUAGCUAGUUGGCGGGGCAGCGGCCCACCAAGGCGACGAUCAGUAGCCGGCCUGAGAGGGCGACCGGCCACAUUGGGACUGAGACACGGCCCAAACUCCUACGGGAGGCAGCAGUGGGGAAUAUUGCACAAUGGGGGGAACCCUGAUGCAGCGACGCCGCGUGAGUGAAGAAGUAUUUCGGUAUGUAAAGCUCUAUCAGCAGGGAAGAAGAUGACGGUACCUGACUAAGAAGCCCCGGCUAACUACGUGCCAGCAGCCGCGGUAAUACGUAGGGGGCAAGCGUUAUCCGGAUUUACUGGGUGUAAAGGGAGCGUAGACGGCAGGGCAAGUCUGGAGUGAAAGCCCGGGGCCCAACCCCGGGACUGCUUUGGAAACUGCCAUGCUGGAGUGCUGGAGAGGUAAGCGGAAUUCCUAGUGUAGCGGUGAAAUGCGUAGAUAUUAGGAGGAACACCAGUGGCGAAGGCGGCUUACUGGACAGUAACUGACGUUGAGGCUCGAAAGCGUGGGGAGCAAACAGGAUUAGAUACCCUGGUAGU